UACGUAGGGGGCUAGCGUUGUCCGGAAUCAUUGGGCGUAAAGAGCGUGUAGGCGGCCAGGUAGGUCUGGUGUGAAAACUCGAGGCUUAACCUCGAGAUGUCAUCGGAAACCAUCUGGCUAGAGUCCGGAAGAGGAGAGUGGAAUUCCUGGUGUAGCGGUGAAAUGCGCAGAUAUCAGGAGGAACACCGAUGGCGAAGGCAGGUCUCUGGGCAUUAACUGACGCUGAGGAGCGAAAGCAUGGGGAGCGAACAGG
rnacentral:rRNA from 1 species